rnacentral:sRNA from 1 species
AGGUGUUGUGCUUAUGCUGGUCAGGCUGUUCAAACUCAGCCACAGAGUACUGAGCCGGGUCACUAAAAGUCGUAAAAUGAUGCAUAUAUAUCAAUGAUUCCUCAGGCUGUAUAAAGGGAACAAUUAAGAUAUAGUAAUUACUAGGGUUGAAAAAGUCAUUACAAAGAUAAGAGAUUGGUUUGUACUCUAUUGCUUAUGUUUUAUUUUUAAGUUUGUGUUGUAACAAAGGGAAAAUGUCAAAAAAAGCCUCAACUUUCAAAUUUGGGAUGAAAAAAGCAUGAACUUUUAAAAUGUCAUUUUAAUCAUGAAGUGUUUGUUGAUUUCUCAAUAAAAUAGGUAAGUUUCGUUGACUGGGCCGUUUAAGACAUGCCGUUAAAUUUCCGUUAACGGAAUAAUCACAGAGUUAACUUUCCGUUAGAAACCUAAAACGACGUCGUUUUAAAAUUAAAAAUAAAACAAAAAAUGGCAAUAGCCUAUGCUCGUUCAUGUGACAUGUGAAACUCCUU